GGGCCCGUAGCUCAGCUGGGAGAGCACCUGCCUUGCACGCAGGGGGUCGUCGGUUCGAUCCCGAUCGGGUCCACCA
rnacentral:tRNA from 2 species